UACGGGUCAUAAACUAGUACCUAAAGAAAACAAAACAAAUCAGCAACUUAAACAGAAACUUAAACAAAAUACAAUAAUUCGAAAGAAAACAAUCCAAGAGAUUAGCAAAGUUGCUAAUCCCCGGCAACGGCGCCAAAAUUUGAUGCGUAAAAUAACUAAGCACACAAAUUAAACCCUCUUUUUAUCAAUUGUAGUAAAGUAUGUAAGUAGGGAUCGUUCUAGGCCGGGGAUUAACAGUGAUUGCUAAAUCACUUGGAAACUGACUUGAAAACGUAAAAACAAAGUUUAAAACACUAAGUAGACUCAAAGAAUGCAAAACUAUACUUUAAAACACUAA
rnacentral:lncRNA from 1 species